rnacentral:rRNA from 1 species
UACGAGAGGCCCAAACGUUAUUCGGAAUUACUGGGCGUAAAGCGUGCGCAGGCGGUGAUGUAAGACAGAUGUGAAAUCCCCGGGCUCAACCUGGGAACUGCAUUUGUGACUGCAUCGCUGGAGUACGGCAGAGGGGGAUGGAAUUCCGCGUGUAGCAGUGAAAUGCGUAGAUAUGCGGAGGAACACCGAUGGCGAAGGCAAUCCCCUGGGCCUGUACUGACGCUCAUGCACGAAAGCGUGGGGAGCAAACAGG